GUGAAUCAUCGAAUUUUUGAACGCAAAUUGCACUCUCCUCGGAUAGUAUGCCUGUUUGAGUGUCAGCCUAUAAAAAAUCGACAUCGUUGCUGUUUUGCGGUGUCGUUCGUCGGAAAUUGGGUCGUCUUAAAUCCAUUUGCUUUAAGCGACUUAAAAUUUUCUUUUGGUUCCUUGAACGUUUCGAAGAUCUGUUUCGUUACACGUUAAAGGAUUCGUGUGUUACUAGACGUGACCAUCAUAUCGUAUCACGUACAUAUUCGUUGAUCUGUG
rnacentral:misc_RNA from 1 species